rnacentral:rRNA from 1 species
GAUGAACGCUGACAGAAUGCUUAACACAUGCAAGUCGACUUGAAUUUGGGUUUUUAACUUAGGUUUGGGUGGCGGACGGGUGAGUAACGCGUAAAGAACUUGCCUCACAGCUAGGGACAACAUUUGGAAACGAAUGCUAAUACCUAAUAUUAUGAUAAUAGGGCAUCCUAUAAUUAUGAAAGCUAUAAGCGCUGUGAGAGAGCUUUGCGUCCCAGUAGCUAGUUGGAGAGGUAACGGCUCACCAAGGCGAUGAUGGGUAGCCGGCCUGAGAGGGUGAUCGGCCACAAGGGGACUGAGACACGGCCCUUACUCCUACGGGAGGCAGCAGUGGGGAAUAUUGGACAAUGGACCGAGAGUCUGAUCCAGCAAUUCUGUGUGCACGAUGAAGUUUUUCGGAAUGUAAAGUGCUUUCAGUUGGGAAGAAACAAAUGACGGUACCAACAGAAGAAGUGACGGCUAAAUACGUG